UCGGAGCAUAAUUAUGCGAUAAUAAUGUUGGUUUGCCAAAGCAAGGAAAGAAAUAUGAGCAAAAGGAAGGAGAUUUGUGCAAAUAAUGGAGAAGUGUGGAAUCUUGAUGAGUCAAGGAAGCAUACGGCAACAUGAAGAAAAAGAUAUUCAGCAAUUAAUUAUCUUGGCUGCUCUUAUUGGAUAGAAGGAUGUCAAUGAAUCCAAAAUCAAUCAGAACAUUAAUAAAGGAGCUUUCCGUGGAAGCCAAGGAAUUAGAGUCCCAAAAGGAAAGAAGAAAAGAGUUACAAACUGAAUAAAAUCUCUCCUUAGACGUUGAAGAACCAUACCAUCACACAUACGGAAGAGGAGAGACGCACAAGAGCUGAAAAAGAAGAAGAAUUACAACCAUCACCGAAAACGAUCGAUCGCUGCCUGCCGACGAUCGAUCGCCGAUCAGCCUUUUCCUAUUUCUUGGUUUUUGUUGUCUUCUUUCUCCAUGAACUCAAUUGUGUUUUUGAUUUCCAUUAUGUGUAACUAAAUUUCCAGUAGCUAGGGGGUAGUUGAAGCCCUAGACAUGAUCCACAACAUGCUCUGACAUUCAAUUUGUUUUCCAAUUAAUAAAGUUGAGGUUUUGUUUA